GUGCUUAACACAUGCAAGUCGAGCGAAGCAGUUAAGUUGAUUUCUUCGGAAUGAUUCUUAACUGACUGAGCGGCGGACGGGUGAGUAACGCGUGGGUGACCUGCCCCAUACCGGGGGAUAACAGCUGGAAACGGCUGCUAAUACCGCAUAAGCGCACAGAGCUGCAUGGCUCGGUGUGAAAAACUCCGGUGGUAUGGGAUGGGCCCGCGUCUGAUUAGGCAGUUGGCGGGGUAACGGCCCACCAAACCGACGAUCAGUAGCCGGCCUGAGAGGGCGACCGGCCACAUUGGGACUGAGACACGGCCCAAACUCCUACGGGAGGCAGCAGUGGGGAAUAUUGCACAAUGGGGGAAACCCUGAUGCAGCGACGCCGCGUGAGCGAAGAAGUAUUUCGGUAUGUAAAGCUCUAUCAGCAGGGAAGAUAAUGACGGUACCUGACUAAGAAGCCCCGGCUAACUACGUGCCAGCAGCCGCGGUAAUACGUAGGGGGCAAGCGUUAUCCGGAUUUACUGGGUGUAAAGG
rnacentral:rRNA from 1 species